CGCGGAGUAGAGCAGUUGGUAGCUCGUCGGGCUCAUAACCCGGAGGUCGCAGGUUCAAGUCCUGUCUCCGCAA
rfam:Oscillibacter sp. 1-3 genomic scaffold acPPL-supercont1.3, whole genome shotgun sequence.